AUAUUGUAAAUUUAUGCUGUCAGGGGAGUUUUUGGCCAUUAUAAAACAGAAGGGGGGUAAAUAGUAUAUGUUAAUUACUGUAGGGGGGAAAGUGGCAAUCCCCUUUUCAAAAUUAGUGUCCUAUUUAUUUUCUUUGUAGUAAUCGAAAGCCUUUUUUAAUUGGUAAAUUUAUGAAUGAGAAUCAUCAACUUAAAUAUGGUUUGAAAGUAAUUUCAUGUAUAAAAUAAGUAAUCUGUAAAUGAAAAAGUGAAAAUUAAAAAGAAAUUGUUUUAGCUUGAGGCAAAAAAAGUAGAUAUAUGAUUAAAUGAGGGGUCAUAUCUCAACUGACAAGAAUAAUAUUAACAAAUGAAACUAAGAAGAAAAAGAGAGCAAGAGAAAUUAAGCUGAUGAUAAAUCAAUUUACAAAAAUAAAAAUUAAAUAAUAAGUUUGCAUGGUUUAAAGAGUCUGAAAAAAGAUAAAAUAUUGAUUGGUUUAUCUAGAUUUAAUUUAUCCUUGUAAUUUCAAUAAAAUGGGGAUUCAUUAGGAUUAUAAAAGGGUGCCAAUAGUAACUUGGGAUAAUAUUCUCAGGAGCUUACUCGAGCACGAAUCUAAUUCUCAUACCACAUAAAAUCCUACAAUCUUACCUCAAUCUAAAAGCUAGCCUACCUCAAUCUAAAAGUUAACUCAAAAGUUAUGGGUUGUCUAAAGCUUAUAAUAUUGAUCGAGUAACUGUUCUCAACUAAUAUGGAAUAAAGUACUCAACACUGCGGACAUGUACAAAUUUAAUACUUUACUUCUAGAUAAUUUCAUAAGAUUAUGUUGCUGAUAUUGACCUAGUUUAACAAAGAUAAUUUUAGAAGACUUUAGUUUAUUUUGAUGUUCUAGUAUUGGUAAAUGGUUACAAAGAUGUUUAAAAAAGGCUUUAGUUUAUUCAAAUGUUUUAGUGUUAGUA
rnacentral:lncRNA from 1 species